rnacentral:lncRNA from 1 species
CCCCUUCUCUACAGCCCAGAGAGAGAGAGAGAGAGCAAGAGCAAGAGAGACUACCUUUCCUUACUCUGGACUCUACUGCUCCACCAUGGCACCUGUCACAGACAGAGAGACACGGACCUAGGAGCGCUACAGUACCAGGAACACACAGAGUACAAAGGUUCCAGUGCCACUGUGAGAAGCUGCUUCAGUCCCAUCAGAGCUGAGAGGUGUCCGAUACAGCAGACGCAGAACAGGGAACGCCACACUACGCAGGAAGGCUGACAACCGAUUGGAGAGGAGCGUGACGACAACAACCCAACCCAUUCCAACGCUAGCCGUGCCAGGCUACUGCCAACCCCAGGACGCCAUGAUGAUGACCGUAAUGAUGAUGAUGGCGAUGAUGGUGACAUGUAGCUCCUUGCUCCUCUUGGGACUCAUGGCCUCCCAGGUCUCGUCCAGCGGAAUCCCCAAGACCAGUGACUCCUCUUCACCCUCCUCGUCCUCCUCACACCCAUCCUCCUCUUCCCCUCGCAUGAA